AGGGUGUAGAAUGCAAGAUUACAGGAUUCCUGACGGAAACGGGGGUGGGGGGGAAAUAAACCCCUAAAAGUAAAGUAAAGAGAAGAAGACGCCCGUGUGUGAAUUUUGUUGAAAAACAAACGUAGGAAACGACGCCCACCUUCCUCUCGCAUCCAACAGAUGCCGUUAGUAGCCGUUGUCUCGUCUGCUGUCCGAGUGACCGAGUGCCGCGUUUCGCGUUGUCUCGCCGCAUUUUACGCUUAUUUCACUGGCGAAGAUUGUUCUUCAGGCGUCCAGCCAAUUUUUUUCAAUGUUUUCGCUCAUUUUGUCUUCUGUAUUAGAAAGGCAGAACGAUAGUGUCAAGAAGUAUACCUUUUCUGACCUGGUAUAAGGAAGAUGUUGCAAAGUUUCUGCCACAUCUGCAUGAUACUCCAACUUGGGUCAAGGUUUUAUAAAUCAAAUCUGAGAAAAGUGGCAACAUGUGAAAUGAACUAUAUGUUCGUAGUAAUUUUGAUUUGACUUUUAGACACUACCAUAAGAAGAGAAAUGGCAGUCAUCCAUUUUUCCUCACAUGAUUCUCCCUCCAACAAUGAAUUGGUGACACAUGGCCAUGCUAAGUGUAACAUUAGGAACAUAAGAAGCACAUACAGCUCGAGAUAACAAUGAAUAAGCAGGAACUGCUCAGUUAAUGUAAGAUCAAGAAUGUCAAUAGCUGAAAGGCACAUAAGGAGAGGCUGAACUUUCCCAUGUGGUGUUUCAGUUCACAGAGGUUUCAGCAUCUGGGAAAGACCCCUUAUUUUGAUAUGCUAUGAGGUUCUAGUUUAGACAGCAUAUCUUUCAAAAGAUAUUGAUCCCCUUCUUUAGAGAUAUAUUACCAAGCUCUUUAACCUUUAAACAUUACAAGUAUCUAGGUAAGUUUUUCCCAAGUUCAUGGGCAACUUUGAAGAACUCUUGAGAUUCACAGGAAGCAAAAUUUUUAUGCUGCA